GAUGAACGCUGGCGGCGUGCCUAAUACAUGCAAGUCGAGCGAACGGACGAGAAGCUUGCUUCUCUGAUGUUAGCGGCGGACGGGUGAGUAACACGUGGAUAACCUACCUAUAAGACUGGGAUAACUUCGGGAAACCGGAGCUAAUACCGGAUGAUAUUUUGAACCGCAUGGUUCAAAAGUGAAAGACGGUCUUGCUGUCACUUAUAGAUGGAUCCGCGCUGCAUUAGCUAGUUGGUAAGGUAACGGCUUACCAAGGCAACGAUGCAUAGCCGACCUGAGAGGGUGAUCGGCCACACUGGUACUGAGACACGGUCCAGACUCCUACGGGAGGCAGCAGUAGGGAAUCUUCCGCAAUGGGCGAAAGCCUGACGGAGCAACGCCGCGUGAGUGAUGAAGGUCUUCGGAUCGUAAAACUCUGUUAUUAGGGAAGAACAUAUGUGUAAGUAACUGUGCACAUCUUGACGGUACCUAAUCAGAAAGCCACGGCUAACUACGUG
rnacentral:rRNA from 1 species